rnacentral:ncRNA from 1 species
ACGCAACUCUGGAGAGAGCGCAAGCCACCCAAGGGGUAAGGCGGUAAGUACACCGCACGAAACUCUCAGGUAACGAGGACAGAGAUA